ensembl:ncRNA C08D8.5 ncRNA
AGACGAUGAAUCUUCGUGCACGAUCUUACUCACAGGCUCAUUUCCUUUCGGCUUGAGGAUUUGAAAAAUGAAAGUAGGAAAAAUGUAAGUAGACGGGCAGGGAGGAAAAAGUGU